rnacentral:misc_RNA from 1 species
GAUGAAGAACGCAGCGAAAUGCGAUAAGUAAUGUGAAUUGCAGAAUUCAGUGAAUCAUCGAAUCUUUGAACGCACAUUGCGCCCUUUGGUAUUCCGAAGGGCAUGCCUGUUCGAGCGUCAUUUCACCACUCAAGCCUGGCUUGGUAUUGGGCGCCGCGGUCGAUCCGCGCGCCUCAAAGUCUCCGGCUGAGCUGUCCGUCUCUAAGCGUUGUGAUUUCAUUAAUCGCUUCGGAGUGCGGGCGGCCGCGGCCGUUAAAUCUUUCACAAGGUUGACCUCGGAUCAGGUAGGGAUACCCGCUGAACUUAAGCAUAUCAAUAAGCGGAGAA